CAGAAAAUGGACCAAGACCCAGUGUCACUGGCCAUUUUGUCCCUGCUCAGAGCAUCUCAGUCACUGAGACAGAGCUGAAAACUUCUGCUUUCUAUCUGAUGGCAGCUCUCACGGACGGCUGAAGCCCCUGAUGAGAAAACAAAGUCAAACUCCCGGUGCGGAUGUGAACACAUGGACUGCACGGCCUUCUCUGACAGACUCUUCGUGAAGCCAAGUUAGUUUAGGAAAGGAAAUCAGGACUUUCAAGUUCCAGGUCCAGCUCCUGUUGCGUGAGCCGAAUGAGUACAGCCUAUUCAUACGCUGUAAUGGCAACACUGCCGGGACUCCAGCUGGACUUCAAUCCCAGUGCCCACACGGAGGACACAGAAUUGGAGCCAUCAGAAACAGGAAAGAAAGGCAAAUGUGCAGUCAUCCGGGACUGAAGAAUGGGCGGUGUUGGGGAAAACAAUCUGAUCAACAAGGUUUGGAAGCAUUCCCAAGGCCAGGCAAAUCAGUA